GGUCGCGUAGCUCAGCAGGAUAGAGCGUCGGUUUCCUAAACCGCAGGUCGGAGGUUCGAGUCCUCUCGCGAUCACCA
rnacentral:tRNA from 1 species